AUGCUUGCUUCAGCAGCACAUAUACUAAAAUUGGAAUGAUACAGAUAAGAUAAGUGUGGCCCCUGCACAAGGAUGACACUCAAAUUCGUGAAGUGUUUCAUAUUUUU
rnacentral:snRNA from 1 species